GCAUAUCAAUAAGCGGAGGAAAAGAAAAUAACAAUGAUUCCCUUAGUAACGGCGAGUGAAGGGGGAAAAGCUCAAAUUUUAAAUCUGAUUGGUUAUACUUAUCAGAGUUGUAAUUUGAAGAAGCGUUUUCCGCGUCUCGGUUGGCCCAAGUCCUUUGGGAUAAGGCAUCAUGGAGGGUGAGAAUCCCGUUCGGUUGACCUUAUGACGUUCUACGAUACGCUUUCAAAGAGUCGAGUUGUUUGGGAUUGCAGCUCAAAAUGGGAGGUAAAUUUCUCCUAAGGCUAAAUAUUGGCGAGAGACCGAUAGCGAACAAGUACCGUGAGGGAAAGAUGAAAAGAACUUUGAAAAGAGAGUAAAAUAGUACGUGAAAUUGUUGAAAGGGAAACGAUUGAAGUCAGUCGUACCGACGAGAAAUCAACUCUUCGAGUGUUAACAUGUGGGCGUGCGUGAGUCUUUAACGGGCCUCGCUGUUUGCAUGUUUGUUCUUUUUGGGUGUACUUUUUCGUAUGGUAGGCCAACAUCAGUUUCGAAUAUCAUAAAAUGACCGGAGGAAUGUAGCUUCGAUCUCGUAUUGAAGUGUUAUAGCCUUUGGUAGAUGUGGUGUUUGGGACUGAGGAUUGCAACGAAUAUCCUUUGGGCUAUCCGUCUGAUCUCUGAAAGUUGCUUAGGUGCCGAAAGCAUGCUUACGGUCAUUUAAGUUGACGGUCAAAAGGUUAGAACGUGAUUACAUUCGUUAAGGAUGUUGACGUA
rnacentral:rRNA from 1 species